GGUUAGACUCAACACCAAAAGCACAACCCAUGAUCAAAAAAUCUGAUAAAUUGGACCUCAUCAAAACUGAAUAUAUCUGCUUUGCAAAAGACCCCAUUAGGAGGAUGAAAAGACAAGUGACAGUUGGGAGAAAAUAUGUGCAAAUCACAUGCCUGCCAAGGAUUCAUACGUAGAAUAUAUAAAGAACUCUCAGAGCUCAGCAUUUAAAAACAAUCUAAUUAGAAAAUGUGCAAAAGACAUGCACAGACAGUGCACCUAAGACAAUACCCAGAUGGUACAGAAGCACAUGAGAAGUUACUCAACAUCAUUAGCUACUGGAGGAAUGCAAGUGAAAAACACAGUGAGGUGUCACUCCACACCUAUCAGAAUGGUCAAAAUAAGAAACAGUGACACCACCAAAGGCUGGUAAAGACGUGGAGAAACCGGAUUACUCAUACACUGCCGGUGUCCAUGUAAUACGAUACAGUUCGGCAUUUCCUUUUAAAACUAAAGAUGGACUUAAUAUAUGACCCAGCAAUUGUACUCAUGGGCAUAUAUAUUCCACAGAAAUGAAAACUUAUUUUCAUGCAGAAAUUUGUACACGAGUGUCCACAGCGGCUUUACUGAUAAUGGCCACAAACUGGAAACAACCAAACGUCCUCCAGUGGAUAAAUGGUUAAACCAGGUGUGGAAACCACUGGAAUAUUACUCAGCAGCUAAAAGGAAUGGAUUACUGAUACACACGGCAACUGGGAUGAGCCUCAAGGAAAUUAUGCUGAGUGAAAAAAGCCAACCUCAAAAGGAUACAUACGGCAGGAUUCCAUGUAUAUAACAUUCAUGAAAUAAAAUCAUUCUGGAGACGGAGAACAGCUUACGGGGUGGCCAGGGGUUAGGCAUGGGGAAGGAGGCGUGAAAACGGUAGCAUGAGGGAGUCUUGCAGGGAGGCUACGGCUAGAUAUCUUGAUGGUGGUGGUGGUUCCGCGAAGCUACACACACGAUAAAACUGCACGGAGCUGCACGCAGACACACAAUCACACAGACACAGAAAUGAGCGCACGUGUAGCUGGCGAAAUCCAAGCAAGCUCUAUGCAUCAUACCAAUGUCAACUUCGUGGUUUGAACAUUGUAUUGAUACUACAGUCGUGCAAGACGCUGACAUUGGGGGAGGCCGGUGAAGGGUACAUAGGACCCCCCUAUACAUGCCUUGGUAACUUCCUGUGAAUCCAUAAUUAUUUCAAAAUAAAAACCUAAACAUCCAGGAGAGAUUCAUUGCCUAAAUUAUGGUCAUCAAAGCGUGGAAGGCCACCGCCACACAAAACCCAAGGAUGGAUGAGACAAGGAACACAAAACCCUCAGGGCAGCAUCACUGCUCACGCUUCUGACACAGGAGGGCAGGCUGUUCGGCGGAGGCUGCUCCCUUCUCUUCCAGGACAAGGGUUUCCGCCGGACCCACAGGUGCCCAGUUGGAGACUGCACCCUCCCAGCAGCCCUUGCAGCCAGGUCUGCCAUGGGACUAAGUUCUUGUUAAUGAAGGUCAAGUGGAACGGAUCCAUGCCAGUGCUGGGUCUGGUCUUACAACACCUGUGCGUUUUUCCCUUUUUGUAAACUCAGAAGGUGCCUGUGACUCAGCUUCCACCAUGCAGACCACGUCCUAGGUCACGUGGGUGAGACGAUAGAGGGACAGGCUCCCUGAGUGACCGCGUGGAGGAGAGCAGCCCUGGGGUCUGAAGCACUCCCUUCCUCUGGGGCGCUGAAGUGGAAGACAAGUAAGUGUCUAUACUCUUUAAGCCACUGUUUUGGGGCCUCUGUGUUGGAGUAACUUAGCCUUUGCUAAACGGAAAAAAGCAGGUUUCAAAACAGUACGCAGUACGAUCUGCUUUUUUCAAAAAAUAUGCACGCGCCAACACGUCCACAGGAAGGUCUGGAAAGGUACACACCGAAGUGCUCUGGUCAUUGUCUCUUGCUAGUGGGAAUGACGGGUAUUAUCUUCUUUGCUUGUCCACAUUACCUAAUUUUCUAUAAAAGGAACACAUGUAUUCCUUCUGGAAUUAAGAAAGCGAGGCUGCGAUCGAGAUGACGGCCAAGAAUUAGACAAGGCUGGGGGACCCAUGAUGCAGAUGAAGUGCACUGGUGGCAGGACCCACCUGUUCAGUUAGCACCGAGCCACCGCUCCCACCGUCCCCGAGGACAGCCAGUGUGCAGCUGGAAUUUCAAACUCAAUUAGCACAGAGACAGGCUGAAGCUGUUCUUGAGUAACUAAUCAUCUAAAAGCCGCCAACACGAUGCUCUACCUGGGAUGUGCCUGUGAACUUGAAGACCAACUGGAGGACAGGUUUGUCCACGAACGCCCUGCACAGGCCCGUCUCUGAGGCACAUAUGGUGUGGCCUUGAAUGAGCUCUGUCUGCGGUAGACCAGCCCUGCCGGCUGCACCCCAAGAAGCAGGUGGAGCGGAAUUGGCCCACCCUUCCCUGUCGAAGGCAGGACAGUGGAAGCCCCACCGCUCAACUUCGGCACGCCAGUGGGGAUGCAGACGCUGCGAGGCACCGACGAGCAAGGUGGGUCGUCAGAUUUUGUCCUCUGUCUGCAGACCCGACGGCCCCAAGACACCUCCCGUCGAGUCGGCGGGGGUUCGGGACCUUGUGAGAAUCCUGGCGGCUGAAGUCGCCAUCCCUUCUCCUCCUCCCAGCUCGGGUGACCUUAAAAGGCUCUCGAUAUAGCAUCAGGCCCACACUCUGACACUCUAAAUGCGAUGGAGAGCUUGCACAUUAACACUGAAAGAUCAUCAUUUUGUGCCUGCAGCUUUCCGUCAGGAGUGUGAAGUGUAAAAACAUCACUCGAUACCAAAAGGCCAAUUCCCGAUUUAGUGCGGGAAAAAAAUCUGGACAACCUUUUACGGCCCUCCUCAUUCCAUUCUGUCAGUUCCUAACGGGCGCCCUGCUGAUUAACAGGAACCUGGCCGGCAGAAAGUACGGGGUAGGUGCGUCGCUGCUUAUCCUGGCAGGGAAGCGUCUGUAAGACAGAGGUUUCCAAGCUCGGGCCGAGUGCUUCUUGGGCAAUUCUUGACACAAAACCCUCGGCAGAGCAGGGACUGGUUAGUCCCUUUGCUUCUGGGGAGGAAGCUGUGCUGUUGAGUAGCCAUGGAGCUCGACGACGCGGGCAGCGGGAUACCCAGGCCCUCCAGGCCUCGAGCACACAACAGAGAGAACAGUACGAACCCACCUGGGAGUAAAGCAGACAACAUAUGGAAAGCGCCUGGCACAGAGGAGAUGCUGAGCUGUCAGGGUGGUAAUUAAGUCACUAAAAUACCUCGUCGUCCUGGCUGGGGCUCACCCGUGCACAGUCUCAGGAAUGGGGGGCUGGCACACCCGUUGAUGGCCAUGCUCCUUUCUGUAAGGGGUACCAGAGGAUGGUUCCAGACCCAGUGGCUAUGCCCACAGCAGCAUUAGGUCCCAGCUUCCCCCCAAUCCACAUCGUGGAACUGAUCCCAACCCACCUCCAGCCUCUACUUUUGCCCAUCUCAGGUCAACAUGUUCUCUAGAUUUGAACGGUUGACACACAAAGCCAGGCUCUCUCAUGGGUGUCUGUUAGGCACCGAGUGUUCGGGGAUCUGGUGAACAGGUCUCUCACCCUCUGGCCCCUCUCACCUUUCCAGAGCCCAGCCCCCUCCCUUUCAGCUUCCCCCACUUGGCACUGAAGAAGGAGAAGGUCAAAGGGGGGAACGCCCUAAAGGUUGACUAGCCUGACCCUUAUAUUUUUUCCCCUUUUAAUGAGGGGAAGUUAAAAAAAAAAAUAGAAGAGUAGCACACAUCACCCACCUAUCCAAUGUCCAGCCUCAGUCAUUGUCUGCUCAUGGCCAAUCAUGUUUCGUCUACAAGCCCUCCGCCCCCUCCUACUCUCCUGCCUUGCCAUCACUGGGCCAUCAGCCGGGCGUCUUGCGGGAGAGGGGACGAGGUCUCAUAGAGGACGAGCGACUUGUCUGAGUGCUACAGCUGAGAGUAGGCGGCCAGAGUUGAGGCCCUGGCCCAGGCACGCCCUUCGCACUUUUUGCUGUUGCUACACCACCUGUGCUCUCCUUUACUUGUUUAUUUUUUAUUGACGUAUAGCUCAUUUACGAUGCUGCGUUA